AAGUCGUAACAAGGUAACCGUAGGUGAACCUGCGGUUGGAUCAUUAAAAAAUCUAGAGUGGGUCAACCAAAAAUUGGCCCAACUCAAACAUUUUGUGAACUGUUUAUUGUCUCUUGUGGGUUUGCGUCAGUUUCGGCUGCGCAUCCCACACUUUGAACCUAGUAUUAAUUCUUGCCUUUAUUUGCUUUUUAUAAUUAAAAACAACUUUUGACAACGGAUCUCUAGGCUCUC
rnacentral:misc_RNA from 1 species